rnacentral:rRNA from 1 species
AAUGAGAGUUUGAUCCUGGCUCAGGACGAACGCUGGCGGCGUGCCUAAUACAUGCAAGUAGAACGCACAGUUUAUACCGUAGCUUGCUACACCAUAGACUGUGAGUUGCGAACGGGUGAGUAACGCGUAGGUAACCUGCCUGGUAGCGGGGGAUAACUAUUGGAAACGAUAGCUAAUACCGCAUAAUAUUAAUUAUUGCAUGAUAAUUAAUUGAAAGGUGCAAUUGCAUCACUACCAGAUGGACCUGCGUUGUAUUAGCUAGUAGGUGAGGUAACGGCUCACCUAGGCGACGAUACAUAGCCGACCUGAGAGGGUGAUCGGCCACACUGGGACUGAGACACGGCCCAGACUCCUACGGGAGGCAGCAGUAGGGAAUCUUCGGCAAUGGACGAAAGUCUGACCGAGCAACGCCGCGUGAGUGAAGAAGGUUUUCGGAUCGUAAAGCUCUGUUGUAAGAGAAGAACGGGUGUGAGAGUGGAAAGUUCACACUGUGACGGUAUCUUACCAGAAAGGGACGGCUAACUACGUGCCAGCAGCCGCGGUAAUACGUAGGUCCCGAGCGUUGUCCGGAUUUAUUGGGCGUAAAGCGAGCGCAGGCGGUUAGAUAAGUCUGAAGUUAAAGGCUGUGGCUUAACCAUAGUACGCUUUGGAAACUGUUUAACUUGAGUGCAGAAGGGGAGAGUGGAAUUCCAUGUGUAGCGGUGAAAUGCGUAGAUAUAUGGAGGAACACCGGUGGCGAAAGCGGCUCUCUGGUCUGUAACUGACGCUGAGGCUCGAAAGCGUGGGGAGCGAACAGGAUUAGAUACCCUGGUAGUCCACGCCGUAAACGAUGAGUGCUAGGUGUUAGGCCCUUUCCGGGGCUUAGUGCCGCAGCUAACGCAUUAAGCACUCCGCCUGGGGAGUACGACCGCAAGGUUGAAACUCAAAGGAAUUGACGGGGGCCCGCACAAGCGGUGGAGCAUGUGGUUUAAUUCGAAGCAACGCGAAGAACCUUACCAGGUCUUGACAUCCCGAUGCCCGCUCUAGAGAUAGAGUUUUACUUCGGUACAUCGGUGACAGGUGGUGCAUGGUUGUCGUCAGCUCGUGUCGUGAGAUGUUGGGUUAAGUCCCGCAACGAGCGCAACCCUUAUUGUUAGUUGCCAUCAUUCAGUUGGGCACUCUAGCGAGACUGCCGGUAAUAAACCGGAGGAAGGUGGGGAUGACGUCAAAUCAUCAUGCCCCUUAUGACCUGGGCUACACACGUGCUACAAUGGCUGGUACAACGAGUCGCAAGUCGGUGACGGCAAGCUAAUCUCUUAAAGCCAGUCUCAGUUCGGAUUGUAGGCUGCAACUCGCCUACAUGAAGUCGGAAUCGCUAGUAAUCGCGGAUCAGCACGCCGCGGUGAAUACGUUCCCGGGCCUUGUACACACCGCCCGUCACACCACGAGAGUUUGUAACACCCGAAGUCGGUGAGGUAACCUUUUAGGAGCCAGCCGCCUAAGGUGGGAUAGAUGAUUGGGGUGAAGUCGUAACAAGGUAGCCGUAUCGGAAGGUGCGGCUGGAUCACCUCCUUUCUAAGGAA